rnacentral:rRNA from 1 species
UUAAUUGGAGUCUGGAAUGAAUGGUUGGAUGAAAAAUUUACUUUCUUUAUUUUAAAAAUAAAAUUUAAUUUCUGAAUCAAAAAGUUUAGAUUUUGUUAUAGGACGAGAAGACCCUAUAGAACUUUAUUCAUCCCAAGAUAUUUAUUUACUUGUAAAUAAUUUUUAUCUAUCUUGGGGGGAAUUUUGUUGGGGUGACAAAAAAAAUUUUUUAACUUUUUUUAUUUAUUUCAUUUAUAUAUGAAUUUUUGAUCCUUUAUUAUGGAUAUAAGAUUAAGUUACCUUAGGGAUAACAGCGUUAUUAUUUUAGAGAGUUCAUAUUGAUAAAAUAGUUUGCGACCUCGAUGUUGGAUUAAAAUUAGUUUCAGGAGUAGAAGAUUGAAUACUAGKYCUGKUCGACCU